UCAGGAUGAACGCUAGCUACAGGCUUAACACAUGCAAGUCGAGGGGCAGCAGAUCGAUAGCUUGCUAUGAUGCUGGCGACCGGCGCACGGGUGAGUAACGCGUAUCCAACCUUCCCUAUAGUAGAGGAUAGCCCGGCGAAAGUCGGAUUAAUACUCUAUGUUUUCCAAUGCAGACAUCUAAGUUGGAACAAAGGUUCACCGCUAUAGGAUGGGGAUGCGUCUGAUUAGGUUGUUGGCGGGUAACGGCCCACCAAGCCUACGAUCAGUAGGGGUUCUGAGAGGAAGGUCCCCCACAUUGGAACUGAGACACGGUCCAAACUCCUACGGGAGGCAGCAGUGAGGAAUAUUGGUCAAUGGGCGAGAGCCUGAACCAGCCAAAAGUAGCGUGCAGGAUGACGGCCCUAUGGGUUGUAAACUGCUUUUAUACGGGGAUAAAGUGAGGGACGUGUCCCUUAUUGUAGGUACCGUAUGAAUAAGGACCGGCUAAUUCCGUGCCAGCCGCCGC
rnacentral:rRNA from 1 species